GUGGGGAAUCUUGCGCAAUGGGCGAAAGCCUGACGCAGCAACGCCGCGUGGAGGAUGAAGGCCCUUGGGUUGUAAACUCCUGUCGGCUGGGAAGAACUCGUACGGUGCUCAUACCAUCGUGCGUUGACUGUACCAGCAAAGGAAGCCCCGGCUAACUCUGUGCCAGCAGCCGCGGUAAUACAGAGGGGGCUAGCGUUAUUCGGAAUUAUUGGGCGUAAAGGGCGCGUAGGCGGCCUUGCGUGUCUUUCGUGAAAUCCCUCGGCUUAACUGAGGACGUGCGGAAGAAACUGCAGGGCUUGAGUCCGGGAGAGGGGGGUGGAAUUCCCAGUGUAGCGGUGAAAUGCGUAGAUAUUGGGAGGAACACCGGUGGCGAAGGCGGCCCCCUGGACCGGUACUGACGCUGAGGCGCGAAAGCGUGGGGAGCAAACGGGAUUAGAAACCCGGGUAGUCC
rnacentral:rRNA from 1 species